rnacentral:rRNA from 1 species
UACGUAGGGUGCAAGCGUUGUCCGGAAUUAUUGGGCGUAAAGAGCUCGUAGGCGGUCUGUCGCGUCGGCUGUGAAAUCCCGAGGCUCAACCUCGGGUCUGCAGUCGAUACGGGCAAACUAGAGUAUUGCAGGGGAGACUGGAAUUCCUGGUGUAGCGGUGAAAUGCGCAGAUAUCAGGAGGAACACCGGUGGCGAAGGCGGGACUCUGGGCCGAUACUGACGCUGAGGAGCGAAAGCGUGGGGAGCAAACAGG